ACCAAGGGUUCCGGGGCCACGUUCGUCGUCCCCGGGUGAGUCGGGUCCUAAGGCGAGGCCGACAGGCGUAGUCGAAUGGAUGAACGGGCUGAUAUUCCCGUACCGGCAGCGAACCGAAACAACCGAGGCCUGGGGCGCUAACCUCCGGGUCCGUGCCGUCUCCCCUUUCGGGGGGUCGCGGCGCGGGCGCGUUGGGAUCCCCCCUCGUAGUAGGUCAGCGCAGGAGUGACGCAUCAGGGCAGCCGGCCGCGGAGGUGGUUUUCCGUGGUCAAGCGUUCGAGCCCGUCCCGCAGGCAAAUCCGCGGGGCGUCGGGGCGAGGCGUGAUGAUGGGGGCCUUACGGCCCGAAUCCGGUGAUCCGUGGUGCCGAGAAAAGCUUCGGCGUCUGGCGCGUUGCCGCCCGUACCCCAAACCGACACUGGUGGUCAGGUAGAGAAUACCAAAGCGAUCGAGCGAAUCCUGGUCAAGGAACUCGGCAAAUUGCUCCCGUGCCUUCGGCAUAAGGGAGACCCCCUGCGGUGAUAAGCGGCGGGGGGUGGCACAGGCCAGGGGGUAGCGACUGUUUACCAAAAACACAGGAGCGUGCGAAGGCGCAAGCCGCUGUAUACGCUCUGACGCCUGCCCGGUGCCGGAAGGUUAAGAGGAUCCGUCAGCUUUCUGCGAAGCGGUGAAUUCAAGCCCCGGUAAACGGCGGUGGUAACUAUAACCAUCCUAAGGUAGCGAAAUUCCUUGUCGGGUAAGUUCCGACCUGCACGAAUGGCGUAACGACUUCCCCACUGUCUCGACCAGGAGCUCGGCGAAAUUGCAGUACGAGUAAAGAUGCUCGUUAAGCGCAGAAGGACGAAAAGACCCCGGGACCUUUACUAUACCUUGGUAUUGGCAUUAGGCGCGGAUUGUGUAGCAUAGGCGGGAGGCUUCGAGGCGGGUGCGCCAGCAUCCGCGGAGCCGCAAGGUGAAAUACUGCUCUGUUCUCGUUUGAUGUCUAACCUCGAACAGUCAUCCUGUUCAGGGACAGUGCCUGGCGGGUAGUUCAACUGGGGCGGUUGCCUCCCAAAGAGUAACGGAGGCGCUCAAAGGUCCGCUCGGCCCGGUUGGCAAUCGGGUGUCGAGUGUAAUCGCACAAGCGGGCUUGACUGCGUGAUCGACGGAUCGAGCAGGGACGAAAGUCGGAGAUAGUGAUCCGGUGCCGGCGCACGGGCGCGGCAUCGCUCAACGGAUAAAAGGUACCCCGGGGAUAACAGGCUGAUCAUUCCCAAGAGUCCAUAUCGACGGGAUGGUUUGGCACCUCGAUGUCGGCUCGUCGCAUCCUGGGGCUGGAGCAGGUCCCAAGGGUUCGGCUGUUCGCCGAUCAAAGCGGCACGCGAGCUGGGUUCAGAACGUCGUGAGACAGUUUGGUCUCUAUCCUCUGCGCUCGUUGGAAUCUUGAGGAGGCCUGCCCAUAGUACGAGAGGACCUGGGUGGACGAACCUCUGGUGUGCCGGUCGUCACGCCAGUGGCGCGGCCGGUUGGCUACGUUCGGAAGGGAUAACCGCUGAAAGCAUCUAAGCGGGAAGCCUUCUCCAAGAUAAGGAUUCCAUGCGGCCCCGAGCCGCUGAAGACCCCAUGCAGAACACGUGGUCGAUAGGCCGGACGUGGAAGCCCCGCGAGGGGUGGAGCCGACCGGUACUAAUGGUCGAGAGGCAGC
rnacentral:rRNA from 1 species